rnacentral:rRNA from 1 species
GCGGCAGGCCUACACAUGCAAGUCGAGCGGUAGAGAGGUGCUUGCACCUCUUGAGAGCGGCGGACGGGUGAGUAAUGCCUAGGAAUCUGCCUGGUAGUGGGGGAUAACGCUCGGAAACGGACGCUAAUACCGCAUACGUCCUACGGGAGAAAGCAGGGGACCUUCGGGCCUUGCGCUAUCAGAUGAGCCUAGGUCGGAUUAGCUAGUUGGUGAGGUAAUGGCUCACCAAGGCGACGAUCCGUAACUGGUCUGAGAGGAUGAUCAGUCACACUGGAACUGAGACACGGUCCAGACUCCUACGGGAGGCAGCAGUGGGGAAUAUUGGACAAUGGGCGAAAGCCUGAUCCAGCCAUGCCGCGUGUGUGAAGAAGGUCUUCGGAUUGUAAAGCACUUUAAGUUGGGAGGAAGGGCAUUAACCUAAUACGUUAGUGUUUUGACGUUACCGACAGAAUAAGCACCGGCUAACUCUGUGCCAGCAGCCGCGGUAAUACAGAGGGUGCAAGCGUUAAUCGGAAUUACUGGGCGUAAAGCGCGCGUAGGUGGUUCGUUAAGUUGGAUGUGAAAUCCCCGGGCUCAACCUGGGAACUGCAUUCAAAACUGUCGAGCUAGAGUAUGGUAGAGGGUGGUGGAAUUUCCUGUGUAGCGGUGAAAUGCGUAGAUAUAGGAAGGAACACCAGUGGCGAAGGCGACCACCUGGACUGAUACUGACACUGAGGUGCGAAAGCGUGGGGAGCAAACAGGAUUAGAUACCCUGGUAGUCCACGCCGUAAACGAUGUCAACUAGCCGUUGGGAGCCUUGAGCUCUUAGUGGCGCAGCUAACGCAUUAAGUUGACCGCCUGGGGAGUACGGCCGCAAGGUU